rnacentral:lncRNA from 1 species
GACCUCAAUUAAAAUCUUUUCCCCUGAAUUAUGGCUUCUCAGUGACCUGCUGGGGGACACAAAGAGAUUCAUCCACCCUGGGCAUAUUUCCUGAGUCUUGGGACUCAGGAAGUACAGCUAUGCAUCACUUAAGGACAAGGACAUAUUCUAAGAAAUGUGUUCAAGAGACUUUGUCACCAUGUGAAUGAACAUGAAGGAGUGCACGUGUACAGCCUAGAUAACAUGCCCUACUUCACACCUAUGCUGUAUGGAAUUUAGAUGUGGUGCACCUACUGCUCCUGGGGCUGUGAUGAACAAAACAACCCAAGAGUAAAUGAAGCACAAGAAAACAUGAUGCAACUGAGUCACAGCAGACAUGAGAAAACAUUGGGGAAAUUUCCUUGGCAAUGGUCUUGGCAGUAACUCUUUAGAUGAUACUAAAAGUAGAGGGAAUAAAAGCAAAAAUAUCUAAGUAAGAUUACCUCAAACUACAAAUAUUUUAUACAGCAAGAGAAUGAAAAAGAAGAUCCAAAGACUGGGAGAAAAUAUUUGCAAUCUCUAUGUAUGACAAACGGCUAAUAUCUAAAAUGUGUAAGGAACUCCUAUAACUCAACAGCAGAAAAACAAAUAACCCAAUUAAAAAUGGUCAAAGGACUUGAAGAAACAUUUCUCCAAAGAAGAUAUACAAAUGGCCAAAAGGUAUAUGAAAAAAGGCUCAGCACUAGUUGUCAGGGAAAUGCAAAUCAAACCCUCAGUGAACCAUCACGUCACACUGGUUAGGAAGGCUAUUAUCAAAAAGACUAAAGACAGUAAGUGUUGAGGGUGUGGAGAAAAGCCUCUGUAUAUUGUUGGUGGGAAUGUAAAUUAGCACAGUCAUAUGGAAAACAGCAGGGAGCCUCUCAAAGCAUGAUGCAGAACUACCAUAUAAUCCAGCAAUCCCUCCUCAGGUAUGUAGCCAAAUGAAUUGAAAUCAAGAUCUCAAAGAGAUAUCUGUACUCAUGGUCAGUGCAAUAUUCACAGUAGCCAAGAUAGGGAAACAACGAAAGUAUCCAUCAGUGAAUGGCUGAAUAAAGAAAAUGUGGCAUAUUCACACAAUGGAAUAUUGUUCAACCUUUAAGAAAGAAAAUCCUGUGGUUCUGCUGCCUGCCUCAAAAGCACAAGGUCCCAAGUUCGAUCCCUGGUACCCCCCAAAAAAGAAAGAAAAUCCUGCCAUUUGUAAUAUUAACAAACCUGGAAGAUAUUAUGUUAAAUGAAAUAAAUCAGUCACAGACUAACAUUCUCAGC